UUGCGUUAAGGCUUCACACGCCCAUGUGCUCAGGCCGUGUGGCCAGAAAUAGGCUAAUUAUCAAGCCUUUUGUCACUCUUACACCACAUGCAUAGAUACAUACUUAUCCAAUAACAUACAACGUGGCAUAAAUGAGCUCUUAAACAUCUACAAACAUGUUAUGCUCAAGUUAUUUUCUUAUGCAAUAAAUAUUAUAGAAUUUGCCCAUAUCAUUACCACAUACUAGACAUAACUAUCAUUACAUCACAAACCAUUCAUGAAGCAUUAUUAACUAUUUAUCAAUCACUUAAUCCUGCAUUAGUUACUAGCUCAUCGAUGAAUCUCAAUUCAAUCUCUAGGCAUACAUGUUGUAAGCCACAUCACAAGAGAUAAUAACAUACAUGCAUAAGAAUAAUCAUAUGGGCCCAUAACGAUAUUAGCCGACAUAGGCCAAUUUACAUGACUAAUACUACCUUAAUAACAAGCCAAUGCCUUUGGCUAAAUCAUAAUAUUACAUACUCACAUUAAAACCCUAUACAUGCCAUAGACUAGAAUCACUUGAGUUUACUUACGCCGAUAGCGUUAACUCGACAGUGUGAUAAUAUCUCUGACGGCCUCCAACCCGAGCUAACCUGGAAACUCUAGAAAACAUGGGAAAGAAGGGGGGGUAAGCUUUCGCUUAGUAAGUUCAUAUGAAAACAACAAGCAACUCAUUAACUUGUUUUAUCAAUGUUUACAACAUAUUUUCAAGUUCACAACAAGCUGUCUUUCUGAGCAACAGUCACUAAAUUAUUUAUCUAUGGAGCUACGAAACUCCGAAUUAAGUUCCGUAAAUUUUCCCUGAAACUAAACUCAUUUAUAUUUCUUCCAUAAAAUUUACAGAAUUUUUGGUCAGGCCAUUUAGUACAGUUUAUUAGUUAAAGUCUCCCUUGUUUCAGGGUAUGACUACUCUGACCCCUGUGCACUAUGAACCGAAUUUCUCCUUGUACAGAAUUUCAACGGCCAUGCCGUUUAUUUCCCCUAAAAAUAGACUCAAUAAGGAAUCCAUUCAUGUAAGGUAUGACUCUUAAUAAGUUUUUUACAAUUUAUGGUGAAUUUUUAAAGUCAUAACAGGGGAUCUCAAAUUCAUUCAGACCCUAUUUCACAAGAAUUCAAAUAUCACACAAUAUAGAAUUCUUUUUCUUCCUCUAUUUCUUUCAUGUGAAAAUAGACUCAUUACGCUUUAAUCCCACAUUUUAUUCUACCCCUAACUCAUUUUUCACUAUUUUUAGUGUAUUUUCAAAGUUACACUACUGCAGUAACUCAAAUCUGUCAAGGCUAAGUUAUUCAUGGUCAUUGUUCAUAAUAUUAAUACAACACCAUUUUAUCCAUCAUGGUAAGAACACAUAUUAUGCAUCAUAGAUCAUCACAUAUCAAGGCAAUCUCAUAGGAUUAGUAUACAUACUUGCACAACUCGUAACAUAACUCGAGUGCAUACUCACCAAUGACUUACCUCAUUGGGACCAUCAUCAACUCUUUCCUUGGAUUGCCCGUUGAACACUUGGAAUAUUAAUUGGAAUAUCUAUACAAUUCAUGUAAUGAUAACAUUUAAAUACAUGUAUAGCAUGGGAUUGUUUACAUACGAACUUACCUCGAUACCACAAAGGUGAAAAGGACAUACUCGUCCAUAAAUCGAUUUCUUUCCGUUCUAGGUCCAAGUCUCAAUUUUCAUCAUCUAUAGCAUCACAUUUAGCCUACCAAUCAGUCACAAUAUUCAUAUGGGUCUAAAAAUCAUAUUUUUACAAAUUUUCAUUUUGACCCCUAAACUUUUGCAUAUUUGCACUUUUGCCCUAAUGCUCGUAAAUUAAUUUUUAUCACAUUUCUUUACUCCUUGAGUCUAGAUGAACCAUUUUCAUAACUAUAGCAACUCAUAAUUUCAACUAUUUUACACAUUUACAACUCAUUUUACAACUUAGCAAUUUAGCCUUUUUUAAGGUAUUUUCAUGCAAUUUCUUUCACAAAAGUUGUUUAUUAGACAACUAGGACUCAUAAUCUUCCAUAAAAACACAGCAAAUAACACAUUUACUUUCAUAGAAAAACCCUAGACUCUUCAUCAUUUUGCAAAAUAGUCCCCUCUUAUGAAAGCUCAUGCUUUAGGGGUUCCAAAAAUGUAAAAAUCAUCAAGCAAAGACAUUAAAAUCACUUACAAGCAAGGGAAAUAUGUUGCUGAAAUUUUCCAGCUUCAAAACCCUUUCUUUGCUGCAUAUUUCGGUGAAGGAGAAGAGAAAAAUGAUAGCUUUUUCUUUUUGAUUUGUUAAUAAUAAAACUAGUCAAAAUUGGUGACCAAAUUUCACCUAAUUUUGACUUUUCAACAAUUUUGUCUCCC
rnacentral:lncRNA from 1 species